UGAGACAGGUGCUGCAUGGCUGUCGUCAGCUCGUGUUGUGAAAUGUUGGGUUAAGUCCCGCAACGAGCGCAACCCUUAUCCUUUGUUGCCAGCGAUUCGGUCGGGAACUCAAAGGAGACUGCCGGUGAUAAACCGGAGGAAGGUGGGGAUGACGUCAAGUCAUCAUGGCCCUUACGAGUAGGGCUACACACGUGCUACAAUGGCGCAUACAAAGAGAAGCGACCUCGCGAGAGCAAGCGGACCUCAUAAAGUGCGUCGUAGUCCGGAUCGGAGUCUGCAACUCGACUCCGUGAAGUCGGAAUCGCUAGUAAUCGUGGAUCAGAAUGCCACGGUGAAUACGUUCCCGGGCCUUGUACACACCGCCCGUCACACCAUGGGAGUGGGUUGCAAAA
rnacentral:rRNA from 1 species